UGGAAGUUGGAGCCUACUAACUGGGCAGCC
rnacentral:piRNA from 1 species